rnacentral:rRNA from 1 species
CCUGGUUAUCAAAAACAUGUCCUUUUGUUAAUAAUUUAAGGUCUGGCCUGCCCAAUGAUUAUUUAAAUGGCCGCGGUAUAUUGACCGUGCAAAGGUAGCAUAAUCAUUAGUUUUUUAAUUGAAAGCUAGAAUGAAAGGUUGGAUGAAAAAUUAUCUGUCUCUUUUUAAUUUGUAUUAAAACUUUAUAUUUAAGUUAAAAAGCUUAAAUUUUUUUAAAAGACGAGAAGACCCUAUAGAGUUUUAUUAGAUAUUAUAUUAAAUUUUUUGGUAUUUUAAUUUUUAAUUUCAUAUUUAAUUUGGUUGGGGCGACUAGAAAAUUAAUUGAACUUUUCUUUAUUUUCUCAUUUAUAAAUGUAUACUUGAUCCUUAUUUUGGAUUAUAAGAUUAAAUUACCUUAGGGAUAACAGCGUAA